rnacentral:rRNA from 1 species
UACGGAGGGUGCAAGCGUUGUCCGGAUUUAUUGGGUUUAAAGGGUGCGUAGGCGGCCCGUUAAGUCAGUGGUGAAAGCCUCCAGCUCAACUGGAGAACUGCCAUUGAUACUGACGGGCUUGAGUACAGACGAGGUUGGCGGAAUUGAUUGUGUAGCGGUGAAAUGCAUAGAUACAGUCAAGAACACCGAUUGCGUAGGCAGCUAACUAGGCUGUAACUGACGCUGAGGCACGAAAGCGUGGGGAGCGAACAGG